rnacentral:rRNA from 1 species
CCUACGGGGGGCUGCAGUGAGGAAUAUUGGUCAAUGGACGCAAGUCUGAACCAGCCAUGCCGCGUGCAGGAUGACGGCUCUAUGAGUUGUAAACUGCUUUUGUACGAGGGUAAACCCCGAUACGUGUAUCGGGUUGAAAGUAUCGUACGAAUAAGGAUCGGCUAACUCCGUGCCAGCAGCCGCGGUAAUACGGAGGAUCCGAGCGUUAUCCGGAUUUAUUGGGUUUAAAGGGUGCGUAGGCGGUUUGGUAAGUUAGAGGUGAAAUGUCGGGGCUCAACCCCGAACCUGCCUCUAAUACUGUUGGACUCGGGAGUGGUUGCGGUAGGCGAACUGUAUGGUGUGGCGGUAAACUGCU